rnacentral:rRNA from 1 species
GACGAACGCUGGCGGCGUGCUUAACACAUGCAAGUCGAACGGAAAGGCCCUGCUUUUGUGGGGUGCUCGAGUGGCGAACGGGUGAGUAACACGUGAGUAACCUGCCCUUGACUUUGGGAUAACUUCAGGAAACUGGGGCUAAUAUCGGAUAGGAGCUCCUGCUGCAUGGGGGGGGUUGGAAAGUUUCGGCGGUUGGGGAUGGACUCGCGGUUUAUCAGCUUGUUGGUGGGGUAGGGGCUGACCAAGGCUUUGACGGGUAGCCGGCCUGGGAGGGUGACCGGCCACAUUGGGACUACGAGACGGCCCAGACUCCAACGGGAGGCAGCGGUGGAGAUUCUUGCGCAAUGAGCCGAAGCCUGAUGCAGAAGCCCCGCGUUCGGGAUGACGGCCUUCGGGUUGUGAACCGCUUUCGCCUGUGACGAAGCGUGAGUGACGGUACUGGGUAAAGAAGCACCGGCUAACUACGUG